AACACUGUUAACCUGCGGUACCUGCGGAAGGAUCAUUACCGAGUGCGGGCUGCCUCCGGGCGCCCAACCUCCCACCCGUGACUACCUAACACUGUUGCUUCGGCGGGGAGCCCCCCAGGGGCGAGCCGCCGGGGACCACUGAACUUCAUGCCUGAGAGUGAUGCAGUCUGAGCCUGAAUACAAAUCAGUCAAAACUUUCAGCAACGGAUCU
rnacentral:misc_RNA from 1 species